rnacentral:rRNA from 1 species
GCUUGUCUCAAAGAUUAAGCCAUGCAUGUCUAUGUAUAAACAAGUAUACUGUGAAACUGCGAAUGGCUCAUUAAAUCAGUUAUAGUUUAUUUGAUAGUACCUUACUACUUGGAUAACCGUGGUAAUUCUAGAGCUAAUACAUGCUAAAAAACCCGACUUCUGGAAGGGUUGUAUUUAUUAGAUAACAAAUCAAUAUUCCCCGUGUCUAUUGUGAUGACUCAUAGUAACUGAUCGAAUCGCAUGGUCCUUGACCGCGAUACAUCAUUCAAGUUUCUGCCCCAUCAGCUUUCGAUGGUAGUGUAUUGGACUACCAUGGCUUUAACGGGUAACGGAGGAUUAGGGUUCGAUUCCGGAGAGGGAGCCUGAGAAACGGCUACCACAUCUAAGGAAGGCAGCAGG